rnacentral:piRNA from 1 species
UAGGCUUUGUACCUGGGUGAUGAAAUAAUC